CCUACGGGAGGCAGCAGUGGGGAAUAUUGCGCAAUGGGUGAAAGCCUGACGCAGCGACGCCGCGUGAGGGAUGAAGGUCUUCGGAUCGUAAAGCUCUGUCAGCAGGGAAGAACGGUCACUGUGCUAAUCAGCAGUGAAUUGACGGUACCUGCAAAGGAAGCACCGGCUAACUCCGUGCCAGCAGCCGCGGUAAUACGGAGGGUGCGAGCGUUAAGCGGAAUUACUGGGCGUAAAGCGCUCGUAGGCGGUAAGUCAAGUCACGGGUGAAAUCCCCGCGCGCAACGUGGGAACUGCUUUUGAAACUGGCAAACUGGAGUGUGUGAGAGGAUAGUGGAAUUCCAGGUGUAGGAGUGAAAUGCGUAGAUAUCUGGAGGAACAUCAGUGGCGAAGGCGACUAUCUGGAACGUAACUGACGCUGAGGAGCGAAAGCGUGGGUAGCAAACAGGAUUAGAUACCCCAGUAGUC
rnacentral:rRNA from 1 species